CAAGAAGAAUUUGAAAAAUCUGCAUAUGGGAGAGCCACGCGUGCACAGAUCAAUGCACAAGCUAAACAGUCACAGGCCACCAACACGGGAGAGCCAGUUCUGAAGUGGCAAAUGGGAUGAAAUGCAGAUGUAUUAUUCUGUUAUUCAAUUUGAACAAACAGAAUGGUGAAAGGCGCCUUCUCAAGAUUCCAAAUGUUAAGAUGGUGUGACCUUGAGCUUUAUCAUGAAGGCCCAUGCUCUGUCCACAUUUUACAGUAUAUAAGAUGUUAAUAAAGUUGCUUGUACAGGUUGUCUGGUUAUUGUUUCGUAUGUCAAAAUUAAGUUUCAGUCGACCAUCCUUUGUUCUGUCUCAAGUAUCAGUAUCAUACUCAGUGAUCUCUGCUUCUGGCAAGUAUGUCUAAUAUAUCUUUCAAGAAUAGCAUUUCGGUUCA